rnacentral:rRNA from 1 species
UACGUAGGUGGCAAGCGUUGUCCGGAUUUAUUGGGCGUAAAGCGAGCGCAGGCGGUCCCUUAAGUCUGAUGUGAAAGCCCCCGGCUCAACCGGGGAGGGUCAUUGGAAACUGGGGAACUUGAGUGCAGAAGGGGAGAGUGGAAUUGCGUGUGUAGAGGUGAAAUGCGUAGAUAUACGGAGGAACACCGGUGGCGAAAGCGGCUCUCUGGUCUGUAACUGACGCUGAGGCUCGAAAGCGUGGGGAGCAAACAGG